UACGUAGGGUGCGAGCGUUGUCCGGAUUUAUUGGGCGUAAAAAAGCUCGUAGGCGGUUUGUCGCGUCGGCCGUGAAAUCUCCACGCUUAACGUGGAGCGUGCGGUCGAUACUGGGCGGCUAGAGUCUGGUAGGGGGGAUCUGGAAUUCCUGGUGUAGCGGUGGAAUGCGCAGAUAUCAGGAGGAACACCCGGUGGCGAAAGGCGGGGAUCCUGGG
rnacentral:rRNA from 1 species